GGGGGAGCAGAUAAGAGCAACCGAAGAUUUCCUCACACAGACUGAUGUGAUAUAUACAAGAUUGCUCUCACCAUUCAAGCUCAUGUAAGAUCAAUGAUGAGAACAGAAACAUAACCACAACCCCCCUGUAGCCAACCUUUCUGCACAAACUGGACUACUUUCACUCCACCAGCAGAUUGAAGACAAGUUAGAUGCUGUGAUCCGCUGCCUGCUUUCCGACCUGGGAGAAUCAUCUCAGGAGCUCAAUGAGGAC